AAAAAUCUCUCUAAUAAUUAAUAUUCAUGUAGAAUAUAUUUUAAAUUUUAUUAAUUAUUAAAUAAUAGAAUUAUUAAUUACCCGACGUGGAACGAAGUUGGUUCUCUCAAUUUUCUAUUAAUUAUUAGAAUUAUUAAUUUAUAGAAUAUUAACUAUUAGAGGGUCAUCUGUACCACCAAUUGGAUGUUUUCCAUUAUAUAGACGUCCGGGAUCAUGUGAUGAAACUCUGAAUAACGCAGCACUUUUAUUAAAUUCUAAAUUGUCUCACAAAUUGGCUGAUCUUGGAGCCGAAAGCCAACUUAAUAGCACCCAAAUUGUCUUUAUGAAUAUUUACGAGGACUAUAUGGGACUUAUCCAAAAUGGAACACAAUUUGGUUUCGACGUUGUAACUAAAGCAUGUUGUGGAAUAGGAAAUUCAAAUACUAAAUAUUUAUGUAAUAAAGUAAAUCCGAGUUUAUGUGACAUGAAAGGGCUCAACUAUUUAUUUUGGGAUGGCCAUCAUCUUACAGAGAAGUUAUACAAUACGCUUGCUUUAGCGUUUUUCGGCAAAUAUAUGGACAAAUUUACAAAACCUUAUUGAAAGACCCUAUGGGUUAUAAGGCAAACCGGUUUUUGAUUUGUGAAUCGGAAAUUUAAAUUCUUUAAAGCGGAAAAGAGAAUUUAAAGACACAAGAGAUUUAGAGUGGUUCGGAUCAACUCACGAUCCUACUCCACUACUCAAUCUAAGAUUGAGAUUUUAGAAUCCACUAAAUGGGAUUGUGCUUUAUAGAUAA